rnacentral:lncRNA from 1 species
CCUCCAUGGUAAGAUACAUUUGUUUUGCAUUUUCCCUAUUAUUCUUCAGUGGCUUGAUCUUUUGCUGAUCUUCUCAUUCUCUCUCUAUUUCAGUUGUCUUCUCGUGCAAGGUUGAUGAUCAAAUCAUGUGACGCUGUCUAAUUCUUUCAACUAUUUUUAUGGUGAUGUACAACUCUAUUUGGUGAAACUAUGCUUGUUUGCUCAAAUUUUGUUAGGUUUUUUGUUCAAAUUUUGCAAAAGAGGCUAAAUUGCUCAGUUUUCUUGUAUGUAAAUUUAUGUUUCAGUAAUAAACUAGAUGCUUAAACUGAAAGAAGCUUGUCAACAUUUACAUGCUCCUCUGUUGGUAACAUUUUGAGAGUUGUUUUCUGAAUCACAAUGAAACUAUAUCGCAGGUCAAUCUUCAUGUUUUCAUUUGAUUGAUUUCCGCCAAAUAAUUUCCUGAUUGAUUUCUUGCUGUCAUUUGAAACCCUGUCAUCUCAACUCUAGAUUUUCAUGGAAAAUAGGAUCGGGAUGCUCUCCACUUGGUGAUCAAUCUUACACAAAUUUAGCAUGUCUGAUCAUUUUUUCCCCUGAUUUUGUUUAGCAAUUGUGAUUUAUAGGGUAAUCACUGUGUAAAAAUCUCUCUUGCUAACAUGAUCUUGAUUACUAUGUUGUUGUGAUUCUCAAAUUCAGUUUUCCAGAACAAUUUUUAGAAAAAUUGUUUGGUUUAAAACUUUUUUUUGAGAAGUUUUUGAAAAUAACACAUUAUUGAGAAAAUAUUUAAAAAAUAUUUUUUGCUAAAAUAAAUUUAUUUUCAAAAUCAAUUUCUGAUUCUGCAAAUGAGAAUCAUGCUGCUAAUUCUCUAAUUGUUUUUGGGUAGACAUAUCUGGUCCUAUGAUUUGCUUAGGACUCUACAGGAAAGCUAAGGAGAUCUUAGGGAUGUCUCUCCAUCCAAAACCUAUAUUAGGAACAAAGGAUUUCCUUAUUUCCAACAGUUGAUGAUGAAAAGUAGUUAUUGUUGGGUGGCAAUGGCAAGAGUAAAUAAGCAUGAAAAUGCACCUUUUUAUGUCGACUUGAUUGGGGGUGGAUUAGAUAAUCCAUUUGUGGGGAUUAGCUAUCCAACCUGGACUAAAUUCGUUGAAACCAAAUAUGAGGGAGACGCUAGGUUCCAUUCGCAGGUCUGGCCAUCCUCCUAUGGGACAUUGAUUCAUUUAUUCAUAUGGCUGUUGGGCUAUUUGAUUUGCGAUUAUGCACUAUUUUAUGGGCAAUGGUGCUACUUUCUGAGUCAAGUGACAUGAGUCAUACAGUUAAGUAAACCAACACGGCACGACAUAAUUAAAAAAUGGACACGACAUGAUAGAUUAAAAUACGAGCACGGUACGACACGAGUCACACGACUAAAUUAGUGGGCUGACACGACACGAUUAAGUAUAUGGGCAAGCACGUUUAUAAAAUGGCAUGGCACGAUUAAAAAAGGCCUGACCGGGCCGAACAAAUGGGCUUGACCCGUUAAGUAAAUGGACCCGGCCCGGCACGAAGCACAAUUGGCACGAAAAAAAAGUGGCACGGCACGGCGGACACGUUAGACACCUCUAGGCACAAAGGUUCAGUGCCUUUGGUCUCUAUUCGGACGAGCUUGCAAAGAAGCAAACAUAAGAAAGAGCACACAGAGCUAUUCUAGGGAUGGUGCUCCGACAAUCAAGUCAGGGACCAAAGAAAAUAAGAAAUGAAAGAGCAAAUGACUGGCUUUGCUCUAGUUCUAGAGAGAGAGAAAGUGUUGAUCACCCGUCCAAGAGAAAGAAGUGCUCCUUUUAUAUUAUAGCUCGACGCAUACGGACACGCGCAAGCUGACUUGCUAGAAAGUAAGCGGUUGACCAAAUCACACCCCUGUAGACAUGAUUGGUAGUUUGCCUAUCACAUCAUAGAAACUUAAUGUGUGCGGGUAGCAAGUGAAAUUUCGCGUGUACGCUACCUGUUGCCCAGCAGCUCAGUAAGGAUGAUUCAUCGAGAUUGUUGUCGUGUUCUCCAUUUGAAUUCUCACGUUGAGGUCGCCGACCAGAGUUGCAUAGAGCGACAGUCCGGCAGUGGCGCACGGUGAAGCUCAGUCGAAAUUGUGGUUGCAUAUUUUAUCCCCUUAUAGCCCAUUUAGUUAUGUAACGAUUCUUUACUGUAAUCAUGGCUAAAAAUACCAUCCCGAUACGUGGGACUCUUUCUCAAAAAAAUGAAAAGUAUUGUGAGCCUUAAUUGAUUUAGCACGGACACUAGAUGUAACUUUGUAGGAAAUAAAUGGGAGAUUCUAUUUUUAUAGGGGUAUAACUAUUUACUGAAAAAGUGAGGGUAGUCACAUAUCCCUCCUGGGCAUGAACUCUUAACGCCGCUGGAUUCUGCAAAUCACCACCCAUUAAGCACCAUAAUGCAUAUUUUACAUGAAUAAUUUAAUAUACCUUUAUGAACAUUUAUGUACUUAUUAUGAUAAUUGAUGUAGGCCAUUAACUACCACCCUACGUUAGGGAUGGCAAUGGGGCGGGGCAGGGCUGUGCCGGAGGUUGGUACUACCAUCCCCGAUCCCCGAAAUUUUUUGUGUCCUCGAUCCCUGCCCCGAUCCCUUGCGGGGAAUAUUUUUGUACCCCCGUCCCUGCCUCCGCCGGGGACCGGGGAUCCCCACCCCAAAUCCAAACCCCGAAUCUCACAAAAUCAACAACUUUCAAAUACAAAUAAAAUAAAAAUAAAAAAUGUCAAAAUCAACAAACUCCAAAAAUACCUAGAUGAGAUCUGGCGACCGGUGUUCGCGUCGACCGACGAAGGCUAGCGGCCGCAGCAGGAGCAACGACGGGUAACGACGGGCGAGUCGACGACGAUUGAGAUCUGGUAGUGGGUCUCCCUCUCGGCCUAUCCCCUUCCCCUCUCUGUUCUUGCGUGAGAUUUGGUGGACCAGUGGUGGGUAUCCCUCUCCCCUUCGCCUCUCUAGUCUUUAGUCUCCCUCUGUUUGUCCGUCGUCGUUGGCCAUGGAGAGAAGAAAGAGAGAGAGAGUUGUUUGUGAACGU